GAUGAACGCUGGCGGCGUGCCUAAUACAUGCAAGUCGAGCGAACGCACGAGAAGCUUUUGUCUCUGAUGUUAGCGGCUGACGGGUGAGUAACACGUGGAUAACCUUCUUCUUUGACUGGGGUAACUUCGGGGAACCGGUGCCAAUACCGCAUAAUACGUUCAACCGCAUGGUUCAAAAGUGCAUGACGGCUUUCCCGUCACUAUUAGAUGAAUCCGCGUUGCAUUAGCUAGUUGGUAAGGUAACGGCUUACCAAGGCGACGAUGCGUAGCCGACCUGAGAGGAUGAUCGGCCACACUGGAACUGAGACACGGUCCAGACUCCUACGGGAGGCAGCAGUAGGGAAUCUUCGACAAUGGGCGAAAGCCUGACGCAGCAAUGCCGCGUGAGUGAAGAAGGUCUUCGGGUCGUAAAGCUCUGUUAUUAGGGAAGAACAGAUGUAGGAGAAAACGUGGACGUCUUGACGGUACCUAAACAGAAAGCAACGGCUAACUACGUG
rnacentral:rRNA from 1 species